ensembl:lincRNA
GUUGGCAUCCUCUAUGGCUAGAAUGUUAACACAGAUGAUGGCAUCAACCGUUAGAAAGCUAAGCUUUCUGGGCCAGUGGAAUGGCUGAAGAACUGUGUCACAAGGAGGAGAAUCUCUUCUGAUGCCCCCAGAAGAGGCUUAUUUCCCAGGAGUUUUCCCAUGAGUUCGUUUCCAAGGCCAAACAUCCUUUCUCCACAGAUCUUUUUGAUCACCAUGGAGACAAUCUGCUGCUCUGUCCAAUGGAGAGUUUGAGCGGCAGUCACCAUGACAACCUGCGGGGGUAGAAGGACAGCUCAAAGCACCCCUCAGAUGAGAGCCAGGACAGGGACCGGAAGACAUUGUGGUUCUCACAAGUGCAGCAGAUGAAGGGGGGACUCCCUUCCUCUGUCUGAGCAAGAAACAGCUUGUGCCUUCACUGUAGUCUUCAUCCAGGAGGACCAGGAAGGAACAGAGCAGCACUGACAUCUGCCAGUCCCUGGGGUCAAGUGGCUUAAAAAAGGCACAGAUGUGACCUAAAUCCUGAUCACCAUGCUGGGGGCUCUCCUUGUGAAGACCGCAUCUUAGGGGACAGCCAGCCAUCUCGUUCCCUGAGGAUGUGCUGCCGUGGAUGCUGCUGUGAGUAUCACUAUUGCCAUUGUUAUGGUAACCAUUUACAAGCACCUGCUAUGCGCCAGGCACCUAGCAAAAUCUGAUGAUGUGCAAGCAAUGGAAGAGUCACACAGUGGAGAACCAACUGCAACAAUCCCAGGAGCAAAGUGCUAUGGGACCACAGAAGAAAGAAGAAGAGCUGGAAGGACUAACAGGCUCCGGUGGCCACCCUACAACCAGAAAACAGACACCUGACAAUGUAUUGUCAGAUGAUGGAUUAGCCAAGCCUGGGGAAGAGAGCUGAGUGUACAGCUUCCCUCCCAGUCUCCUGGGUGACAAAACCGCUGGAUGACCCCGCCAACAAUAAUGAGAUGAAAAUGAAGAACACUGCAGUAUAAUGAGCAUGAUAAAAAUAGAGAUGUUGCUAAAUAAUGGGUCGGCCAUGGCUGAGGAGCAGGAGAAAGAGCCAAGCCCAAAGGAGGUGGAUAAGGCCUUCCUGUGUGGUCUCCAAGCCUGACCCCCUGAUGUGUUGCUGUUGCUCAACCAGGCCAUAGAUGGUUUUGAGUCCCUAGUGUGGCAAAGAUGUCAGAGAGGGACUAGAGGGUGGGCCUAAGUGAAAAUCCCCAGCAGGCUCUAUCCUGGUCACUGUGGCUCUGACCUCCACCAGGGGAGGGACAAAAGUGUGGUAAGCACACAUGCUGAUGGUGGUUAUGAAUUACUGCCUUUAGUAGGAACUUCUUGCCUGCCAAUGAGUAUCAGCAAAUGGUCUGAGUUAAUGCAUCAAAGUUUUUCAGAACAUUGCACCUCUCAUCUACAUAGUGCAGAGUGGAAGAAGCCUGUUAAUUAUGCUUUUGUUUGUAUUUUUGCUUAGUUGGUAGCUUGGAGUAUCUGCCAGCAGAGGCAGCUGCCCCUAGGGAGGGAGGUACCUGGGUGCUAGAGGGAUGGCUGCCUGUAAAGAUUUCUGGCACCAAGCC